rnacentral:sRNA from 1 species
AUUUGAUAUGAUGGUGUACAUCUGUAAUCCUAGCCACCUGGGAGAUGGAAUAUCUCUUGAGCUUGAGAGCUCUGAGCUGCAGUGGGCUAUUCAGUCUGAGAAUCUGCAAUAUGUUUGACAUCAAUAUGGUGAGUCCCUGGUAGAGUGAGGCCACUAGAUUGCCCAAGGAGGGGUGAACUAGCCUUGGUCAGAAACAACAGAUAGAAGCUCCUGUGCUAGUUACUGGUGGAAUUGAGCCUAUGAGUAGCUUCUGCUCUUCCAGAGCUAGGUGAGAUGACA